rnacentral:lncRNA from 1 species
AUGUCCCCUUGUGACAAUGAGAAACUUGAAAAAGGGAUAGUGCGUGGCCUCGUGCUCGCUGCAUGUGCACCGUGGAGCGGAGCCUCGCGGCGCCUGUUGUUGGUGCGCAAGGACGGGGACGAGGCGACCACGGCGGAGCGUGUUGCCCCUUAUGGUGGCGACGGCUUCCAGGUCCACGAGGAGUGCCUUCACGAGCCAACUCUCGGCAUCACCGGUGGCCGCGAGGUUGGGAAGAAGGUGGUGAUUAGUUUGGCGGCUAGGUCUCCGCCUCCGGCGAUGCCAUCGUGUGCGUCGGUGGUGGGUUUGGCGAUGACACUGGCCAUCUAGUUUGUCUUGU